AAAUGUAUCCUGUCAUUAUAGAUGCUUUUGAAGAAUAUAGAAUUUACAGACAUAAAGUAAACAUGUUGAGCUGUGUUAUUCCUGAGCUUGAUGAAGGAAAUAUCUGCCCUACUUGUCCCAAAACUGAUGGUGUGAUCUUUGAGUCUCUUGAUGCUCUAUUUAUUGGAAAUUUUACAAGUUGUUGCUGUGUUUUCAUUUUCUGGUAAAAUCCCUUUUUGUAAUGUAUUCCAAAACUGUGGUAAUACAUAUGCCAGGUUAACAACAUUAUCUGAGAUCCAACAUCCAAGUACAAUCCGUGAGUAUGCGCUGUAAUGUGUGGGAUUGCUUAGGUAUAUUGAUGAAAUAUUCUUUGUGGUUGGCUUAGAAAAUGAUAGCAUGCUCUUGAAAAAGGCAUAGUUAUAGCUUGAUAUAGCCAUCAUAAUCAUUACAACCACGCCACAAACAUUGCUACAUGUUUGGAAUGGAUACGCUUUGGAACAAUUGUCUGUGCACUUGUGUCCUCCUCUAACCCGGCAUCUGCUAUCAGGAUCAUAAGUCAUUGUUACUGAGUAGUUGGCUAUGCUGUCGCAAAUAUUAUGUGCCUUGAUGAAUUUAUCUAAAAUGUGUAGAAGAGUGUUAGGAAAUUGCCAGUCUAAUGAAUCCCCAUAUGUAAUGUUUUUGUCAUUAGUGUCUACAUAGCAAAGUACCUAAUGGUUUCCGGGGUGCAAAUCAUCUCCAAGGAAAGUGUUGCCAUUGCUUUUUUACCAACAUUUAUGGCAAAACAGAACUUUGAAAUGAAUUCAUAUUUAGCAUGGUGUUGGGCUGUUGUGGGUGGCUUUGUUCCAUUGAGGUACACAUAAUAUGUAUCUGUUUUCUUUUGGUUUAGGUUUUUUGUCAACCAGCAUAUGUGGUCACUUGACACCCAUCUGUCAACACAUAACCUGGACAUCUCAUUGGAUGACAAUUCUCGUUCUUUCAUAAUCUCACUGUAUGGGGUUCUGUACAAAAGCUUCUGAAAGGCUGUAAUUGAAGCAGCUGAUGGAUGUUCCACCACCGUGUCUGGUUUGUUCAAUGGUCGUGAAAACCAGGCAAUUUCCUCUUCGACUUCUACUUGUAUGCUUUUUAAGGUGUGAAAUUUCUGCAGAUUGGUGAUGCAAUUGAUAUCUAACCUUCCUUGUGAUGUGUUGAUACAUGCUCCUUUGCUUGUACUUGAUGCCUCAACUAUUUUUCUCCAUUGUUGCAACUGGUCCAUACUUGGCAUAGAUGUUACAUGGCAAGGAUCAACAACUGAAUCAUCAUCUGUACUGCAAUUUACACCUUUGGUAAACCAUUUCUCAAUCUUUGGCAACAAAGACUCAAAAGCCUGACCUCUAGUUAGCUUGCUCAGUACGGGCUCUAUCUUUUUUGAAGCUUUUUUGAGAGACAAAACCUCCAAAUAAAUUAUGUACAUAUAAUUAACAAAACUAAUUUCCAUUUCUAUAUUAUGAAUUUUUAAUGCAAGACUUUAA